GACGAACGCUGGCGGCGUGCUUAACACAUGCAAGUCGAACGGAAAGGCCCUGCUUUUGUGGGGUGCUCGAGUGGCGAACGGGUGAGUAACACGUGAGUAACCUGCCCUUGACUUUGGGAUAACUUCAGGAAACUGGGGCUAAUACCGGAUAGGAGCUCCUGCUGCAUGGUGGGGGUUGGAAAGUUUCGGCGGUUGGGGAUGGACGCGCGGCCUAUCAGCUUGUUGGUGGGGUAGUGGCUUACCAAGGCUUUGACGGGUAGCCGGCCUGAGAGGGUGACCGGCCACAUUGGGACUGAGAUACGGCCCAGACUCCUACGGGAGGCAGCAGUGGGGAAUAUUGCACAAUGGGCGGAAGCCUGAUGCAGCAACGCCGCGUGCGGGAUGACGGCCUUCGGGUUGUAAACCGCUUUCGCCUGUGACGAAGCGUGAGUGACGGUAAUGGGUAAAGAAGCACCGGCUAACUACGUG
rnacentral:rRNA from 1 species